rnacentral:piRNA from 1 species
UGCNCAAGGGCUUACUGAAACUGGAGCAGA